AAACUAGGAUUAGAUACCCUAUUCGGUUGUUCAACCUUUGUUAGGAAAUAAAGAUUAUGAAAGCAAAAAAUUAUUGGCGGUAUUUUAAGCUUUUCAGAGGAAUUUGCUCUUUAAUGGAUAAAACACCUAAAUCUUACUUAAAUUUGUUAAUUCAAUUUGUAUACCACUAUAAAAACAAUUUAUAACUUUAAUUGUUGAUAUUUAUUAAAUUAAAAUAUAUUAAGUCAAGGUGCAGUAAAAAUUUAAGGAUGAAGUGAAUUACAUUACUUUUUAGAGAAAUAAAUUUAAAAUAAUAUUUAGGAUUUGAAAGUAAAAUUAAAAUAUAAUGUUAAUUUGAAUUAAGCUCUAAAAUAUGUACACAUCGCCCGUCGCUCUCAUU
rnacentral:rRNA from 1 species